UACUUAAUAAAAAAUGAGAAGAAUUUUUAGAUUUUUUUUGCAUUUUAGCCCCUCCCCCCUCGUGCAUCUGGCGCCGAUCGCAUCUGCUGCCUGCCGCCGCCCGUCCUUGUCGAGGCCACUAGAGCCCCUCGGCUGUUCCCUUCCAGGUCGCCGCCGGACUGCAGGCGGCACCGGCAACUCAUUCUUGUUGCGCCACCGCGGGCCUUGCUUCGUGCGUUUCCACGGGCGCCGCCGGCCGCGGUCGGCCUCCUGGUUGUGGGCGUCCUCCGCGUCGUGCCUGGGCUACGUGGCGGGCAACGGCUUGGCGCCGUCACGCAGCUUCGCGUCUGUGAGGCGCGGCCGAAAGGGCAGGCAGCCGCCUGCGGGCACAUCUCGUCACUACGGGCGGCGGGAGGUAUGCUUGCUCCAUGCUCGUGCAGCCCCUUCCUUGCCCAUCUUGCGAGGAUCUUGUCUCAGAUUUGAUGAACUGCAUCUGUAUCCGAGGGGAAUGUGGAGAGGCUUCAGAACGAAGCAGCGACCUCGUAAGGCUCGUUACUUGACAGGUUAGUCCGUUCAUCUGCUCUGCUCCGUUCCUACCUCUUUUUUUUUUUGGAGAAAGGGGAGCCGAUCCCCCCGGCCUCACGGAGGCUUAAACGGCGGUGCAGCGCCUCGGGUUCGAGCCCGGGCAGGUGCGCUCCCCACCCGGAGGCCGCACCAACCGAGCGCCGUUCCUACCUCUUCACCAUGGUUAGCUGGAUUUUGAUGAAAUUAAUUUGUGGUGUGUGUGUGUGUGUGUGUGUGUGUGUGUGUGUGUGUGUGUGUGUGAAGUCUGCAUUGGCAAACCACAACUACAGGUAUCUAUCAUUUGCAUUAUUGGUGACUUUCUAAGUACUGUGCAUGAAUGUCUUGUUUAUAUAGCAUGAAUGAGCAUUCAAAUCUGAAUGAGUUCAUUGCAUACUAGAACUGGUCCAUUGGAUGUGACCACUUCUUGCUUAUCACCAGCAAAUUGACGUUGGCCUAAAUUAUGUGGAAUUGUAAAUAUAAAUAGCCAGUGUGAUCUGCUUACGAAUCGGCUUAUUUUUUCCAUCCAAUAAUAUAAUACUUGCAGCCAGGUAAAUGAUAGUACUUUAAGUAGUUGUGUCUCAAUGCUAUUUUAUUUUCUUGAACUUUGCUGAAAAGCGUAAAGUAUCAGUGAUUUCAUGUUCGUUGCAGAAUUAAACUGUGCACCUUAACUGAAAACCAAAUAGCUGACAUUUUCUUGCUAUUUAAUAUUUAAUUUGCCUUCUAGGACACCACCCGCCCCCCAACCAAACAACAACAACAAUAUAGCCUUUCCCCCCAACCACACACACACAAAAAAAAUUGUUAGCUUUGUACUUGCAGAAAACACAUGACCUCCUUGUGUUAAUACUGAAUACUUAGCUAAAUCCAUGUAUAUGAGUGUUAGAUUAUGAUUCACGCUUCAUCCCUUCACAGGCGCCGUCAGCCUCCUGGUUGUGGGUGUGUGCCGCCGCUUGUGCUCGCCCCCUGACAUGACACUCGCCGUAAGUGAUCUUUGAUCAGCUUGUCAAAUUUUAAUAUGGCUUUUCCAUUUAACUAGAUAAAUCUCCUGACACUCCCAUGACACUACUCCUGAUGUAAAGACAAGUCUUGCAUUUAGCUUUCUCCCAAAUCAAAAUUUUUAUUUAAACUUUGAUCAUCAAUAAUUAAAAAUCAUAUAGAUAGGUCUGCUACAGGUCAUGGAUACUAGGCGCUACAAGGGUUGCCGAAAUCUCUUCAAACUUCAAAGACAGGACACAAAAGUUAGGAUUUCAUUUUACUGUUCCCUUUUCUUCGGAGCAUUGGUUUUGAUCAUACGUAUCUAUGUGCUCUAGAGACCCAGCAGCAUAGACAUGGCAUUGUGCCAAACAAUUCCAUCUUGCCCCAUUCUUGCAUAGAGCCAUAGUGCGAAAAGAACCAGAGUGGACACAAAGGCAACCCCGAGGAGAUGGGAUGUUCUGAUACACACGGAGCUAUAAUCAUCUAUGAAAAGUCAUGUCUACAAUCAUCCUACUGAACAGUUUGAGAGGGUGUAGGAAUUCGAGUUCUUCAUUGAUUUCCACAUCUGAACUUGGCUUUCUUUCUACUUUCUGGUACCUCUAAUGUUCUCCAGGGCCUAUGUCACUUUCAAGCUCAACAGUACCUAGGACUCGUACGACUAAAAAAUUGACCUAAGAGUCAGUCUGUUAAAGGUAACUGAGGCACGAAGGGGAGAUCUGGAAGGAUGUAGUGCGGGGGUUGCUCUGCUCUGCUCUGCUCUGCGGUGGGGCGUUCCCUGCCUGCACAAAGAAAUAGCAAGUGGUGAGACAGAUCGCAGAAGCACUUAUUACCAAGGGAGUUACAGGCGAAUUGCAGUUUCUCUGUACCUCGGAUGUGAUGCAGUUUAUUAUAGCAUCACAGAGUUGUUUACGAUGAGAAGUAUAGCCAUGAUUUGCUCUCUUAAUGACAUGCAGUUUGUGGUUCGGUAUAAGCCUUGCAAACUCAUAUGCAUCUUCCACAGGUAUGAUCUUAUCAGCUGAACCAUGAAUUGUGAAGAACCUGGAAAAAGAGUUGAUCAACAAUUGCAUGAGGACAAUUUUGUUCUAGCGCAUGCGUACACUUAGCCAAACAUGCAGGAAAUGAAGUACUUUGAGUUCUAUAAAAUGCAUGGAGAUGACAAGUUUAACAUGAUACUGUAUGUUGCCGGUUGCUUAAAAUGUAUUAGUAUGAAGGGAAAUGAUGCUUAAACUAA